AUGUUCAUCCAUGAGACCUUAUUCAAGAUUCAACAAACAAUCAAAGUUCCACUAAAAAAACUAUAUGUCCAUUACAAAAUCAAUUCAAAUACACCAUUUUUUUACUUUGACCAAUUCAUACAAAAUAUCAUUCAUCAAAUUUCAUGUACAUUUUAUGGAGGUCAUUACCCAAAAAUAACUCAUCAUCAUUACAAAAAUAGUCCUAAGUCUCUUGAUUCUAACCCCAAAUAUUCUAAUCCUCAUGCUAAAACUCACCUUACAAUCUUCAUGCUAUAA